CAUGCAGUCGAACGGCAGCACAGAAGAGCUUGCUCUUUGGGUGGCGAGUGGCGGACGGGUGAGUAAUGUCUGGGAAACUGCCCGAUGGAGGGGGAUAACUACUGGAAACGGUAGCUAAUACCGCAUAACGUCGCGAGACCAAAGUGGGGGACCUUCGGGCCUCACACCAUCGGAUGUGCCCAGAUGGGAUUAGCUAGUAGGUGGGGUAAUGGCUCACCUAGGCGACGAUCCCUAGCUGGUCUGAGAGGAUGACCAGCCACACUGGAACUGAGACACGGUCCAGACUCCUACGGGAGGCAGCAGUGGGGAAUAUUGCACAAUGGGCGCAAGCCUGAUGCAGCCAUGCCGCGUGUAUGAAGAAGGCCUUCGGGUUGUAAAGUACUUUCAGCGGGGAGGAAGGCGGUGAGGUUAAUAACCUUGCCGAUUGACGUUACCCGCAGAAGAAGCACCGGCUAACUCCGUGCCAGCAGCCGCGGUAAUACGGAGGGUGCAAGCGUUAAUCGGAAUUACUGGGCGUAAAGCGCACGCAGGCGGUCUGUUAAGUCAGAUGUGAAAUCCCCGGGCUUAACCUGGGAACUGCAUUUGAAACUGGCAGGCUUGAGUCUCGUAGAGGGGGGUAGAAUUCCAGGUGUAGCGGUGAAAUGCGUAGAGAUCUGGAGGAAUACCGGUGGCGAAGGCGGCCCCCUGGACGAAGACUGACGCUCAGGUGCGAAAGCGUGGGGGAGCAAACAGGAUUAGAUAC
rnacentral:rRNA from 1 species